ACACAUCGCAAGUUGAGCGAGGGCUUACCUCUCGCAAGAGAGAUAAGUUCCUAGCGGCGAACGGGUGAGUAACACGUGGGCAACCUUUCCUAUCGCGGGGGAUAACAGCGGGAAACCGCUGCUAAUACCGCAUGUCGUCACUGGUCGCAUGGCUGGUGAAGAAAGCAGCAAUGCACGAUGGGGUGGGCCCGCGGCCUAUCAGCUAGUCGGUGGGGUAACGGCCUAUCGAGGCGAUGACGGGUAGCUGGUCUGAGAGGACGGCCAGCCACACGGGGACUGAGACACGGCCCCGACUCCUACGGGAGGCAGCAGUGAGGAAUCUUCCGCAAUGGGCGAAAGCCUGACGGAGCGACGCCGCGUGUGCGAUGAAGUCCUUCGGGAUGUAAAGCACUGUCGGAGGGGAAGACAAAAAAGACGGUACCCUCCAAGAAAGCCCCGGCUAACUACGUGCCAGCAGCCGCGGUAAUACGUAGGGGGCAAGCGUUAUCCAGAUUUACUGGGCGUAAAGCGCGUGUAGGCGGCUGGUUAGGUGUGAUGUGAAAUCUUCCGGCUCAACCGGAAAACUGCAUUGCAAACCGGCCUGGCUAGAGUGCAGGAGAGGGAAGCGGAAUUCCAGGUGUAGCGGUGAAAUGCGUAGAUUCUGGAGGAACACCAGUGGCGAAGGCGGCUUCCUGGCCUGCAACUGACGCUGAGACGCGAAAGCGUGGGGAAGGCGAACCGGAUUAAGAUACCCGGGGUAGUCCCAAGGCCCUUAAACGUUGUGAGCUAGGUGUAGGCCGGGAUUUGA
rnacentral:rRNA from 1 species